rnacentral:rRNA from 1 species
AAAAGAGGAGUGGCGAACGGGUGAGUAACACGUGGGUAACCUGCCCAUCAGAAGGGGAUAACACUUGGAAACAGGUGCUAAUACCGUAUAACACUCUAAACCGCAUGGUUUUGAUUUGAAAGGCGCUUUCUGGUGUCGCUGAUGGAUGGACCCGCGGUGCAUUAGCUAGUUGGUGAGGUAACGGCUCACCAAGGCCACGAUGCAUAGCCGACCUGAGAGGGUGAUCGGCCACAUUGGGACUGAGACACGGCCCAAACUCAUACCGGAGGUACCACUAGGUAAUCUUCGGCAAUGGACGAAAGUCUGACCGAGCAACGCCGCGUGAGUGAAGAAGGGUUUCGGAUCGUAAAACUCUGUUGUUAGAGAAUAACAAGGAUGAGAGUAGCUGAUCAUCCCCUGACGGUAUCUUUGCCCACAGACGGGGAUAACUACCUGCCAACAGGCGCAAUGAUACCUAGGUGGGGAGAGGUUUCUCGAUUUAUUGCGCAUUAAACCAGCUCAUGCGGCUUCUUAAGUCUGACCUGAAAACUCCCUUGUCUUUCGGGCAGGGGGAUUGAAUACUCAGAGACAUGAGUUCAUAAGAUAAGAGCGGAACUCCAUGUGGGGAACCCUCCUGCGUUU